CGGCCCAAUACCAAUGGACAGUCUUACCUUUUGGACUUAAAAUAGCCCCAUCCUUAUUCCAAAAGGCAAUGAGAAUAAUCUUUGAACCCAUUCUCCACAGUGUUCUUAUCUAUAUUGAUGAUAUUCUUGUAUUCUCAAAAGACAUCUCGGCCCAAAAACAACUGCUUUCCUAAUUCCAGUCUAUAGUCCACACUUAUGGAAUCAUG
rnacentral:misc_RNA from 1 species